CCCCGCUUCUAACUUCACCACAACGGAAGGUGACGACCAUGCGCAGGGUAAAUCCAACUCAACUUCGAAUAAAUUUUUUCUUUGGUUUAAACUCACAAAGACUGAAAAAA